AAUAACACCCAUCUGAGAAGCCCAAUCAUUUCACAGAGACUUGGAGAAUAGAACGCUCGUUCGCGAAAAUUCUCAUUCCAUAUUCCAUAACACUUGUACGAGUACAUAACACACUCACUCUCAGUCAAAUAUGUUGUGUGUCUUACAUUGACUAAAUUAUUCGAUUUGAAUUAAAUACCAUAUACCUAAAACAAAUCGCGUUUCGCUCUAAGCUUCGUUAGUGGUUAAAAAAUCCUUGGCUCGACGAUAUAAUCCAUCGCAAGAAUAUUUACCAAAGGUACUCUCGAAACGAAAUCAUCACAACGUGCGGGGAAAAACAAUGGAAAAGUAAAUGAAACAUCGAAGAAAUGAAUAUAAUACGUAUUCCAGAACUAUUUCGCACUGUAUUGGCUUACACAUUGAUAUUGGGAAUCAGCACAAAUUGCUCGGAUGCAAAAUCGACGGAAGAUAUCUCCGCAGUGUUUUCGCUUGAAUAUGGCCGAUUCGACCAUUUGGCAGUAGAUAAUAAGUAUGGAAGAUGGGUAUACAUAGGGUCAUACGAUCACCUUUAUCAAUUAUCAUCAGACCUGAGACUGCAAGUUGAAUACACCAGAAAGGAUCUAGUUGAUUAUUCAAAUUGUACAAAUUACGAGUGUUUGAGACAAUUUUAUGGAGAUUCCAGUUUACACAACCGAAUAUUAGUAUUGGACUAUCACUACCAGCAAUUGAUAUCGUGCGGUACUUUUUACUCAGGAUUAUGCCAUGCUCAUGAUCUCUGUGAUAUUUCAAAAAUUUUGGCAACCAAGAAUGAUCCUCGAAUGGCGAAUGAUCAACUUACACGAACAGUAGCCUUCACAACUUCUUUUUUAGUACCCAACUCAUCGAUACCAUUGCCAGCACUGUAUGUCGGCUUCGUCGACGAUUUUAUUGGCCAAGUACAGAUCAGAAAUCUUGAGCGAACGAAUUUUUUGUCAAAUCUAACAGAAUAUGCUGUGUAUGAUUCGUCGAAGAAUGCCAUAGGCCUACCCAUUCUCCAAACAAAAUUCAUUAAGGGUUUCAGUUUUCAAAACAGUAGCUACUUUCUCACCCAAGUAGAUGUCGCCGUUACACCUCCUUCAAACGCCACAAUAGCUGAUCAGCUCUUCGGAGCAGGAUACCUUAUCGAGAUAGAUCAUAAACAGGGAAAAAAUUCAUAUAACAAUGCUUUCAUUACGUGCAAUUCUAGCAUGGAGCAAUCAGAUGGUGAAUACAACCAAAUCCAGCAUGCUUACAUCUACGAGUAUGUGAAAAAAUCAAAAUCCGCAUCAGAAACAGAUUCGCUCGAAGUGAAGGAAACAUUAAUGUUAGCACUUUUCAAUCUGCAUGUCGGAGAUGGAUACACAGGGUUUGCAGUAUGUAAAUAUGAUAUGAAUAACAUACGUUUCUCCGCUCAAAACUAUCAAAUACAAAACGAAGAACUGAUAUUUUUCAACGAGGGUAAGCCAGACGUAACAGCCAUGGCAGUCACAACUGUUAACAAUCAUACUGUCCUGUUCCUAGGUACCCAAACAGGACAUCUGAAGAAAGUAUCAAUUGAAGGAAUUCAUUCACCCAAUGCUGGAACGGCAAAUUACUAUUCGGAUAUCGUAGUUGAAGAAAGAUCUCCUGUAAAUUCCGAUCUGCUGUUUGAUUUCACAAAAAACUUUUUGUAUGUAAUGACUGAAAAUAAAAUUGCCAAAGUCAAGACGUACAAUUGUGACGGAUAUAACACAUCAUACGAAUGUUUGCGCACACAAGAUCCUCAUUGCGGAUGGUGUUUCGCCAAAAAUAGAUGUAGUUUGAAAUCAGAAUGUACCGAUGAACAAAAUAGCAUCGGAUGGAUGUCGUAUCCCAUCUAUAAACACCUGAACACAUCUUCAAUUUCCAAUAACGAAUUUUUACACACAGCAGAAUGGAAUGAGACCAUUAGUUUCAUAAAAUCACAUCCUUUUGAUAAUCUCACGAUGAUAUGUAGCGAAUAUACCACGUGUUCGGCAUGUGUGACUUCAAAUUAUCCAUGCAAGUGGCAUGUGAAUAAUGAAAGCUGUACGAGUGAAACAAUCUGGAGCAAUGAUGACAUAGUAAUAGGGGCUACUUUGGAUCAGAUUCGCUCGAAAACUCGUCGAUACACAUACCAUGACAAAUUCCCGAGAGAUCAGUUUUACUGUCCACAGUUUUUUCCUACUCUUUUAUCUGAAUCGGGAAUUAUUUACAUUAAUGCUGACACAGAGAAAGAAACAACCAUUAAAAUAGGGUAUAGAAUCCCAACAGAUUCAGAGGAUGAAACAUUGACAUGUCAAUUUCACAUUGAAGGAAACAAGACCAUGCAAUAUGCAGCUUCGGUAGUUUCGAGAGGUUAUUCAGAAGGAACAAUUGAAUGUAAAAAUGUGACACUUACAUACGCUGAUCAAAAACCAAAUGUAACCAUCCAAUUGUCAAUUUUAUGGAAUGAAUCAAUACCUCUUCAUAACCCCAAAAAUAUGAGUGUAAUCUUAUAUAAAUGCCCAUACAUUGGAAUCCAGUGUAAAACAUGCCUGAGUCUGCAAUAUUGCAAAUGGAAUUCACAAGCUAAACAAUGUGAAUAUGAUAGCAAUUACAAUAAAUUGUGGAACAGUAAGGAUGAUAAAAUGAAACAAUGUCAAGAUCCAAUAAUCUCAUUCUUUACACCAAAACUAGGACCAUGGGAAGGUGGAUCUAAAGUAUCAAUCCAUAUCAGUAACUUGGGUAAUGCAUUACCUUUGUCAUGGAACAUUACAGUAGGUGAUACCCCUUGCAUGGUACAUCCACAUUCUGCUGGUGAAGCAAAUGAAAAAUUAACGUGCAUACUAAAAAAGUGCGAUUCGCCAACUAAAGAUUGUAGCGGACCAAUUAAGCUUGUUACAGAAGACUUAGUUCUAACAUCAAACACUACCUUCCAAUUUGUAGACCCCAAAAUUAAACACAUCUCACCAACAGAAGGAUCAAUGAGUGGUGGUACUGAGCUGACUAUUCAGGGCGACUAUAUGAACGCUGGUAGCACAAUCGAAGUAUAUAUCGGUGAUUUGGAAUGCGUGGUGUUUGAAAACAAUUCAAUGCAUCUGAAAUGCGUCACGGGCCCUUCUAAGCAUGCCUUCCAAAAUUACGUCACCGUGAAGUUUGACGGACACAUUCGUACCUCUGAAGAUGUCUACGAAUAUGACGAAGAAUUAGAUCCAGAAGAGAACACGCGCAAUAUACCCAGGGGUGUUCCAACAGGUGGACCAGAUACGUCAAUAAUAUUUCACCUACCUGUCGAUAAAAACUUGACAAAAGAUGAUGAAAUUCUCUUUUACAUUCACGAUGAACAGAUAAACAAAUCAUACUACAGCAGAUGCGAAAUUUCCGACGUUUCUUUGGUAUGCCCCACACCGAGCAUGUGUGAUAUUCAUACGUAUUCUCUGAACGAAAACAAACCUAAACUAAUGGAUUAUGGAUUCAAAAUGAAUACUUCAGAUGGAGUAGAACUGAAUGAUUUAAAUGUUCCCAAGAAAUACCCCACCUUUCUACUUUACCCAAAUUCAGUUCGCUAUCUCAUAGAAAACACUGCAGGUAACAAACGAAUCGUGAUCGUUAAAUACAAAAUCAUCGCGAUCAUUUUAGGAGCACUGCUAUUCGCCGUGAUCGUAAUAUUUAUCUGGUAUCAUCGAAAAUCUGCUGAAAAAUUGCGAAAAAUGCAACAACAAAUUAAUAUAAUGGAAACGGAAACGAUGGUAGCGUCACAAUUAAUGGAACCGAUAGCCAUUGGAGAAGAAUUGGAGCUGGAUGUAUCAGACUCACACAGGCUGGUACAAUCUGAUGGUACAAUUCUGAAAUAAUCUGCCUGAAAAUCAACCAAACUUUAUCAAGAUUCAGAUGCCUUACAGAUACGGACGGACGCAGUAAGUAAUCUAACAAUCCAAUUCGCAUGACUCAAAAAUAAACAGAGAUAUACUCGCAGCAAUGAAACCGAUAGUAAAUUAGCGGAUACUUGCAGAGAUUACGAUGAAAGAGGGGCGGCAAUUAUUUCUAAAAAAAUAUAUAAAUUAAGCAAUAGGUAUGCAUUACUUCUUUAAAAUCAAUCAUAAAUUUAGGUUUAUUUCAUAACAGAUAUUAUUAAAGAUAACUAUGGUAAGUAGGUACAUAAAUCACACGAAUACUGAAAAUUUGAUUCAAAAUAAAUCACUGACUCAUUAUAGUCAUUAUUUUUCUACGACCAUCGAUCUGAAUAUACCUAGACCUACACAUAUGUAAUUCAUGAGUCUGAAUUAAGUUAUGCACGUAUGUGUAGUGUAUACGUUAUUGAUAAGUAAGUUCUCAGUAAACAUUUUCCCAAACUGUA